GCCCAAUACCUGCCAUUGGGGUUUAGUGACUGAACCAUGGGCUUAGCUGCUUUGUUAUAAGCAAAUUAGAUGAAUUGAAAGAGGUGAAUCAUUUGUGCUUGGUAACAGCAAUUAAACAAAACAAGAGAUUGCAGUAAGAGAAAAAAUUUGAACCAGGUCAUUCACAAGGUACUCAGAUAGGCUCACUGUCCCAGCCUCCCUUGCAUUUAGAUGUAGCCAGUUCAUUCUGGCUAAUGAACUGUGAGUAGGAGUGGUCAAAAUGGUUAAGAAAUGAAUGUGUCAAGAUAACCAGACAGAUGUUGACCAUAUUCCAAAUUCCAGCUGAAGUUCCCAGCCCUUCACCAGAGCCGUCUGGUAAAUUUCUAAUACUCCCCAGGACAUUCCUGUUUCCUGCUGAGAAAGAAGAAAACAACAGUGCUUCCCUGAGGGCGGUGUGCUUCAGCCCCUGGGACUGGAAUCUCCAUUUUAGGAAAAGUGUUUACAAGUGUAUAAAACUCGGAGAGGAAACGGCCUGGGAGUCUCUUGGGAAACCAUCUGCGACCCCAUCCUAAGGAUUUGCUGCAGAAUUCUGUGGCAUUCCUCAGCAGUGGGGCUGUCUAGGACAUUCACUCUGAUUUUGAAAAUACAUUGAAGUGAAAGUGUGUGUGCCAGUGGGCAUCUGAAACAGCCCUGAGAAAAUGACAGGCAAAGGUAAAAGAAGUGGGGAAGAUAAAGAGAGAAGGAGGGAGGUGAAAGGCCUUUUUCUGCAAAAAGAUCUCUUCCAUGCAUUUGAAUAUUUUUUAUGUAUGGAAAUAUUCAAACAUACAAAAAUAGAGAAGAUAGUGAAAUGAACCACCAUGUAUUAAGUCAUCCGGCUUCAACAAAUAUCAACCUUUUGUCCAUCUUUUUCACCUAUCUGCCCCCUCCUUUUUUUUUGCGGUAGAGCUGGGAUUGGUAAAUGACAAUCCAAUGGGCCAAAUCCAGCCUGCCUCUUCUUCUUGUAAAUAAAGUUUUAUUGCAACACG